GAUGAACGCUGGCGGCGUGCCUAAUACAUGCAAGUCGAGCGAACAGAUAAGGAGCUUGCUCCUUUGACGUUAGCGGCGGACGGGUGAGUAACACGUGGAUAACCUACCUAUAAGACUGGGAUAACUUCGGGAAACCGGAGCUAAUACCGGAUAAGAUUUUGAACCGCAUGGUUCAAUAGUGAAAGACGGCCUUGCUGUCACUUAUAGAUGGAUCCGCGCCGUAUUAGCUAGUUGGUAAGGUAACGGCUUACCAAGGCAACGAUGCGUAGCCGACCUGAGAGGGUGAUCGGUCACACUGGAACUGAGACACGGUCCAGACUCCUACGGGAGGCAGCAGUAGGGAAUCUUCCGCAAUGGGCGAAAGCCUGACGGAGCAACGCCGCGUGAGUGAUGAAGGUCUUCGGAUCGUAAAACUCUGUUAUCAGGGAAGAACAAACGUGUAAGUAACUGUGCACGUCUUGACGGUACCUGAUCAGAAAGCCACGGCUAACUACGUG
rnacentral:rRNA from 1 species